UACGUAGGGGCCUAGCGUUGUCCGGAAUCAUUGGGCGUAAAGAGCGCGUAGGCGGCCCGGUAAGUCCGUUGUAAAAGUCAAAGGCUCAACCUUUGAAUGCCGAUGGAUACUGCCGGGCUAGAGUCCGGAAGAGGCGAGUGGAAUUCCUGGUGUAGCGGUGGAAUGCGCAGAUAUCAGGAGGAACACCGAUAGCGAAGGCAGCUCGCUGGGACGGUACUGACGCUAAGGCGCGAAAGCGUGGGGAGCAAACAGG
rnacentral:rRNA from 1 species